ensembl:lncRNA
UGCCGCUGCCGCUGCUGCCACGGCCCCGGCGCGCGAACGCGAACCCAGCGAGAGGGAACGACGGCGAGAGCCAGAGCGCGCGCCCGGUGGCCACCGCCGCCCACAACCUCCGUCUCCCGCUGACGGCGCAUGCGCGAGGCGGCGCCGGGCGGGGACGCGCACGCCGUAGGGGGCGUGACCGGGCCCAGAAGGUGUGGCCACGCUUCAGGCCCGCCCACCCACGCGGGCGCUCGCCAAAUAGGCUGAGGCUCUGCAGGUGGCGCGGCCGCUUCCAGGGACUGUUCAUGGGUGAACCUGUCCCAGUGGACCAAGCCAUCCAGAGUCUGCCUACAUCUCGGUGCCAGUCCCGCCUCCACCCACUGGAAGAGGAGAGCUAUCAGAGUAUUGGACCUGCUUGCACCCACCAGGACAUGGAGAGACCCCACCAGCACCAACUGGAAGAAGGGAUGGGAAGACGACAAUAUAAGAACACAUUCAACAACAGAAAGACUAAUAUGAUGCCACCAGAGUCCAGAGACUCAACACCAACAAGACCUGAGCAUCCCAACACAGAUGAAGCAGAAGAGAAUUACCUUAAAAACAACUUUAUGGAGAUGAUAGAGAUCCUUAAAGAGUAAAUGAGAAAAUCCCUUGAAGAAAUGGAAGAAAAAACAAAAACAUUCAAGAAACUGAGGAAAAGACAACCCCCCCAAAUGCAAGAAAUAAACAAAUCUCUUAAAGAAAACAAGGAGAACCAAGAAAAAACAACCAAACAAGUGAAGGAAAUAAUUCAAACAGUUCAAGGCUUAGAAGCUUGAAUAGAGACAAUUAAAAAAAGAAACAAACCACAGAUUGAGGGUAUGCUGGAAAUAGAAAAGCUGGGUAAACGAUCAGGAACUGCAGAUGCAAGCAUAGCCAACAGAAUACAAGAUAUAGAAGAGAGAAUCUCAGGCAUUGAAGAUACACUAAGAAAAAUAGAUUCAUACACCAAAGAAAAUCUUAAGUGUUACAAUGUUCCUGCCCAGUUCUGCAGCUGCCUCAGAGCCCCCAAAUAACACACGAGACACUAUAUUAAUUAUAAUGCUGUUGGCCAGAAGCAUAGAAAAAAAUAGAAGCAAUAGAAGUCUAGGGCUUCUCAGUGGCUUUGUUGGAGGAGAUGUGUCACUAGGUAGUGGGCUUUGAGGUCUCAGAAACUCAGCCACUGUGUCAUUGUCAUCUCCUGCUGCCUGUGGAUACAGAUUUAGGACUCUCACCUCCUUCUCCAGCACCAUAUCUGCCUGAGUGCCACCAUGCUUCCCAUCAUGACAGCAAUGGACUGAACCCAUGAAACUGCAAGCCAGUCCCAAUUUAAUGUUUUCCUUCAUAAAAGUGGUCAGGGUGUCUAUUCGCAGCAAUAGAAUCCCCAAUUAAGACAAUUACUAAUGGUAACACUAAUGCUAGUCUUAACCCUAACACCAAACCUAACCCUAAUUGUAAACUUAACACUAGCUCCAAUCCUCACCAUAAUAUUAGGUUGUAACCCUAAGUAUAAUGCCUAUCUGUAAUACUUGCUUAAUCUGUAACCCUAAAGCUAAUAUGAAGAGUACUGCAGUAACCUGACCCUAACCCUAAUCUCAACCCUAACCCAAGCAGCACUCUAAUACUAGCCCUAGCCCCAAGCCUAGUCUUAAUGCUAUCCCUAACAAUGACAGUGUAAUCAUCACACUAAUGCUAAUGUAACCAUAGCCUUUACUCUAGCUUUAGUAGCUCACUGCAGAUGAUGCUAGGGAGACACCUUAAUCCUAACUUUAAUAGUAACCCUAACCCUCACCCUCUUUUCCACUUCCUACUUCAGAGUAGCUUUAUUGG